AUGAACGCUGGCGGCGUGCCUAAUACAUGCAAGUCGAGCGAACAGACGAGGAGCUUGCUCCUCUGACGUUAGCGGCGGACGGGUGAGUAACACGUGGAUAACCUACCUAUAAGACUGGGAUAACUUCGGGAAACCGGAGCUAAUACCGGAUAAUAUAUUGAACCGCAUGGUUCAAUAGUGAAAGACGGUUUUGCUGUCACUUAUAGAUGGAUCCGCGCCGCAUUAGCUAGUUGGUAAGGUAACGGCUUACCAAGGCGACGAUGCGUAGCCGACCUGAGAGGGUGAUCGGCCACACUGGAACUGAGACACAGUCCAGACUCCUACGGGAGGCAGCAGUAGGGAAUCUUCCGCAAUGGGCGAAAGCCUGACGGAGCAACGCCGCGUGAGUGAUGAAGGUCUUCGGAUCGUAAAACUCUGUUAUUAGGGAAGAACAAAUGUGUAAGUAACUAUGCACGUCUUGACGGUACCUAAUCAGAAAGCCACGGCUAACUACGUG
rnacentral:rRNA from 1 species